rnacentral:rRNA from 1 species
CCUACGGGAGGCAGCAGUGAGGAAUAUUGGUCAAUGGACCCAAGUCUGAACCAGCCAUGCCGCGUGCAGGAUGACGGUCCUAUGGAUUGUAUACUGCUUUUGUACGAGAAGAAACACUCCUACGUGUAGGAGCUUGACGGUAUCGUAAGAAUAAGGAUCGGCUAACUCGGUGCCAGCAGCCGCGGUAAUACGGAGGAUCCAAGCCUUAUCCGGAAUCAUUGGGUUUAAAGGGUCCGUACGCGGUUUAGUAAGUCAGUGGUGAAAGCCCAUCGCUCAACGGUGGAACGGCCAUUGAUACUGGUAAACUUGAAUUAUUAGGAAGUAACUAGAAUAUGUAGUGUAGCGGUGAAAUGCUUAGUGAUUACAUGGAAUACCAAUUGCGAAGGCAGGUUACUACUAAUGCAUUGACGCUGAUGGACGAAAGCGUGGGUAGCGAACAGGAUUAGAUACCCUGGUAGUCCACGCCGUAAACGAUGGAUACUAGCUGUUGGGAGCAAUUUCAGUGGCUAAGCGAAAGUGAUAAGUAUCCCACCUGGGGAGAACGUUCGCAAGAAUGAAACUCAAAGGAAUUGACGGCGGCCCGCACAA